GACGAACGCUGGCGGCGUGCUUAACACAUGCAAGUCGAACGGUAAGGCCCUUCGGGGUACACGAGUGGCGAACGGGUGAGUAACACGUGGGUGAUCUGCCCUGCACUUUGGGAUAAGCCUGGGAAACUGGGUCUAAUACCGGAUAGGCCCAUGCGCUUCACGGUGUGUGGUGGAAAGCUUUUGCGGUGUGGGAUGGGCCCGCGGCCUAUCAGCUUGUUGGGGGGGUAAUGGCCUACCAAAGCGACGACGGGUAGCCGGCCUGGGAGGGUGACCGGCCACACUGGGACUGAGAUACGGCCCAGACUCCUACGGGAGGCAGCAGUGGGGAAUAUUGCACAAUGGGCGCAAGCCUGAUGCAGCGACGCCGCGUGAGGGAUGACGGCCUUCGGGUUGUAAACCUCUUUCAGUAGGGACGAAGCGCAAGUGACGGUACCUACAGAAGAAGGACCGGCCAACUACGUGCCAGCCGCCGCCGUAA
rnacentral:rRNA from 1 species